rnacentral:rRNA from 1 species
UGGGGAAUUUUCCGCAAUGGGCGAAAGCCUGACGGAGUGACGCCGCGUGGGGGACGAAGGCCUUCGGGUCGUAAACCCCUGUCAGAGGGAAAGAAGGGUGUCGGCGUGAAUAGCGCCGGCAUCUGACGGUACCUUCAGAGGAAGCCCCGGCCAACUCUGUGCCAGCAGCCGCGGUAAGACAGAGGGGGCAAGCGUUGCUCGGAAUCACUGGGCGUAAAGGGCGCGUAGGCGGGAUGGCAAGUCGGUCGUGAAAUCCUUCGGCUCAACCGAAGAACGUCGGCCGAUACUGCCGUUCUUGAGGGAUGCAGAGGAGAUUGGAAUUCCCGGUGUAGCGGUGAAAUGUGUAGAGAUCGGGAGGAACACCGGUGGCGAAGGCGGGUCUCUGGGCAUCUCCUGACGCUGAGGCGCGAAAGCGUGGGGAGCAAAC